GAUGAACGCUGGCGGCGUGCCUAAUACAUGCAAGUCGAGCGAACAGACGAGGAGCUUGCUCCUCUGACGUUAGCGGCGGACGGGUGAGUAACACGUGGAUAACCUACCUAUAAGACUGGGAUAACUUCGGGAAACCGGAGCUAAUACCGGAUAAUAUAUUGAACCGCAUGGUUCAAUAGUGAAAGACGGUUUUGCUGUCACUUAUAGAUGGAUCCGCGCCGCAUUAGCUAGUUGGUAAGGUAACGGCUUACCAAGGCAACGAUGCGUAGCCGACCUGAGAGGGUGAUCGGCCACACUGGAACUGAGACACGGUCCAGACUCCUACGGGAGGCAGCAGUAGGGAAUCUUCCGCAAUGGGCGAAAGCUUGACGGAGCAACGCCGCGUGAGUGAUGAAGGUCUUCGGAUCGUAAAACUCUGUUAUUAGGGAAGAACAAAAGUGUAAGUAACUAUGCACGUCUUGACGGUACCUAAUCAGAAAGCCACGGCUAACUACGU
rnacentral:rRNA from 1 species